AGUGAACGCUGGCGGUAGGCCUAACACAUGCAAGUCGAACGGCAGCACAGUAAGAGCUUGCUCUUACGGGUGGCGAGUGGCGGACGAGUGAGGAAUACAUCGGAAUCUACUUUUUCGUGGGGGAUAACGUAGGGAAACUUACGCUAAUACCGCAUACGACCUACGGGUGAAAGCAGGGGAUCUUCGGACCUUGCGCGAUUGAAUGAGCCGAUGUCGGAUUAGCUAGUUGGCGGGGUAAAGGCCCACCAAGGCGACGAUCCGUAGCUGGUCUGAGAGGAUGAUCGGCCACACUGGAGCUGCGCCACGGUCCAGACUCCUACGGGAGGCAGCAGUGGGGAAUAUUGGACAAUGGGCGCAAGCCUGAUCCAGCCAUACCGCGUGGGUGAAGAAGGCCUUCGGGUUGUAAAGCCCUUUUGUUGGGAAAGAAAAGCAGCAGGUUAAUACCCCGCUGUUCUGACGGUACCCAAAGAAUAAGCACCGGCUAACUUCGUG
rnacentral:rRNA from 1 species